UUGCAUUAGGUAUACAUUUAAACAUAUAUAUAACUUUAUAUACAGGUAGAGAUAGACCGACCAAAACGAAUAAUUGCAAAGCCGUCCCGCUAUAUGACUACUUCAUCGGAUGAGGCUUCAACACGGAAAAAAACAGCACCUAUUGGAGAUAUCCAAGAUGACGUUAACGACAUCAGAAACACCCUGGAGAACGAUUCAAAUAAUUAUGAAAAUUUUAUUCCUUCAAAUAANAAUACUAAUAAUACUAAUACAUUAUUCCGUUAAUAUACACAGGAACAUGUAUUACCAUGUACAAACACUCAUACAACACUUUCGGAUACAGACACAAAUACAUAUACAAAUAUACAGUCAUANACAAAUAUACAACCGCACACAAACAGUGAACCACAUACAAAUUUUCAGACUUANACAAAUAUUCAACCAUAUACAACUAUUCACCCACAAACUGACUUUCAAACAUACACUAACACAUCUACUAACACUGAUAGUACUAAUCUAUUGCAUGCGUCUGUUAUACAUAAUUACACACCGCAAGUAACCAAUGAAAGAGCAACAUAUAAUAUUAAUAAUACAAGUACUGAGUUUCAGAGUAUCUCGGAAGCAAGAUCUACCAAGAACAAUUUGUAUCGCCCAGCUCAAGAAACAAAACUGCUUACUCUUUUGAAAAGUCGAGAGAACAUUCCACCGCAAUCAGAAAAGACAGACAAUCGAAUACACGAACGUAUAGAUCGUUUGGAGACAGAGAUGAAAAGAAUGAAUACGCUAUUGGAAAAUAUAUUAAAAUGUGUACAAGACAACGUGGAUCACGAAAACCAGAUAUCCCCCCAAUUUCAUCUUUAAC